GCCCCCAUGGUGUAGCGGUGAGCACGUCGGCCUUUCACGCCGGAGGCGGGAGUUCAACUCUCCCUGGGGGUA
rnacentral:tRNA from 1 species